rnacentral:rRNA from 1 species
UACGUAGGGGGCAAGCGUUGUCCGGAAUCAUUGGGCGUAAAGAGCGUGUAGGCGGCUUGGUAAGUCCGCUGUGAAAGUCCAGGGCUCAACCCUGGAAUGCCGGUGGAAACUGUCAAGCUUGAGUCCGGAAGAGGCGAGUGGAAUUCCUGGUGUAGCGGUGAAAUGCGCAGAUAUCAGGAGGAACACCGGUGGCGAAGGCGGGUCUCUGGGCCGAUACUGACGCUGAGAAGCGAAAGCGUGGGGAGCGAACAGG